CCUACGGGAGGCAGCAGUGAGGAAUAUUGGUCAAUGGACGCGAGUCUGAACCAGCCAAGUAGCGUGAAGGAUGACUGCCCUAUGGGUUGUAAACUUCUUUUAUAUGGGAAUAAACUGUUCCACGUGUGGGAUUUUGUAUGUACCAUAUGAAUAAGGAUCGGCUAACUCCGUGCCAGCAGCCGCGGUAAUACGGAGGAUCCGAGCGUUAUCCGGAUUUAUUGGGGUUAAAGGGAGCGUAGGUGGAUUGUUAAGUGAGUUGUGAAAGUUUGGGGCUCAACCGUAAAAUUGCAGUUGAAACUGGCAGUCUAGAGUACAGUAGAGGUGGGCGGAAUUCGUGGUGUAGCGGUGAAAUGCUUAGAGAUCACGAAGAACUCCGAUUGCGAAGGCAGUUCACUGGACUUCAACUGACACUGAGGCUCGAAAGUGUGGGUAUCAAACAGGAUUAGAUACCCCUGUAGUC
rnacentral:rRNA from 1 species